rnacentral:rRNA from 1 species
GAUGAACGCUGGCGGCGUGCCUAAUACAUGCAAGUCGAGCGAACGGACGAGAAGCUUACUUCUCUGAUGUUAGCGGCGGACGGGUGAGUAACACGUGGAUAACCUACCUAUAAGACUGGGAUAACUUCGGGAAACCGGAGCUAAUACCGGAUAAUAUUUUGAACCGCAUGGUUCAAAAGUGAAAGACGGUCUUGCUGUCACUUAUAGAUGGAUCCGCGCUGCAUUAGCUAGUUGGUAAGGUAACGGCUUACCAAGGCAACGAUGCAUAGCCGACCUGAGAGGGUGAGCGGCCACACUGGAACUGAGACACGGUCCAGACUCCUACGGGAGGCAGCAGUAGGGAAUCUUCCGGAAUGGGCGAAAGCCUGACGGAGCAACGCCGCGUGAGUGAUGAAGGUCUUCGGAUCGUAAAACUCUGUUAUUAGGGAAGAACAUAUGUGUAAGUAACUGUGCACAUCUUGACGGUACCUAAUCAGAAAGCCACGGCUAACUACGUG